rnacentral:SRP_RNA from 1 species
ACCGGGCGUGGUAGCAUGUGCCUGUAGUCCCAGCUACUCUGGAGGCUGAGGUGGGAGGACCGCUUGAGCCCAGGAGUUCUGGGCUGUAGUGCGCUAUGCUGGUUGGGUGUCCAUGCUAAGUUUGGCAUCAAUAUGGUGACCUCCCGGGAGCGGGGAACCACCAGGUUGCCUAAGGAGGGAUGAGCCAGCCCAGAUUGGAAACGGAGCAGGUCAAAACUCCCAUGCUGAUCAGUAGUGGGAUUGUGCCUGUCAAUAGCCACUGCACUCCAGCCUGGGCAACAUAGCAAGACACCAUCUCU